rnacentral:tRNA from 1 species
GACCCGCUAGCUCAGUUGGUAGAGCAUUUGACUUUUAAUCAAAGGGUCACGCGUUCGAGUCGCGUGCGGGUCACCA